AGGACGAACGCUGGCGGCGUGCUUAACACAUGCAAGUCGAACGGAAAGGCCCGCUUGCGGGUACUCGAGUGGCGAACGGGUGAGUAACACGUGGGCAACCUGCCCUCAGCUUCGGGAUAACACUUGGAAACAGGUGCUAAUACCGGAUAAUAACCUUUCAUCGCAUGGUGUGGGGUUCAAAGUUUUUCGGCUGGGGAUGGGCCCGCGGCCUAUCAGCUUGUUGGUGGGGUAAUGGCCUACCAAGGCGACGACGGGUAGCCGGCCUGAGAGGGCGACCGGCCACACUGGGACUGAGACACGGCCCAGACUCCUACGGGAGGCAGCAGUGGGAAUAUUGCGCAAUGGGCGGAAGCCUGACGCAGCGACGCCGCGUGAGGGAUGACGGCCUUCGGGUUGUAAACCUCUUUCAGCUCUGACGAAGCGCAAGUGACGGUAGGAGCAGAAGAAGCACCGGCCAACUACGUGCCAGCAGCCGC
rnacentral:rRNA from 1 species